rnacentral:piRNA from 1 species
GAGGAAGGUGGGAUGGAACUGGCAACUCA